UAGCUAUCGAAGACGGAAGCAAUAAAGGAUCAUCUACUAGAGAGUAAGGCCGUGGCUGAAAGCCUUGCAAGAUCUGAUCCGAACCACUUCUCGAGAUUGCCCUAAUGGCCCUGUUGCGCAGGUUACGCGCUAAUGAAGUGGCCCGCAGCAAGACUGUCGGCAAUCUGGGUGGAACCGCGAUCACAAAUCGUCCCUGAU
rnacentral:ncRNA from 1 species